GAUGAACGCUGGCGGCGUGCUUAACACAUGCAAGUCGAACGGGAAACCUUUUAUUGAAGCUUCGGCAGAUUUAGCUGGUUUCUAGUGGCGGACGGGUGAGUAACGCGUGGGUAACCUGCCUUAUACAGGGGGAUAACAGUCAGAAAUGACUGCUAAUACCGCAUAAGCGCACAGAGCUGCAUGGCUCGGUGCGAAAAACUCCGGUGGUAUAAGAUGGACCCGCGUUGGAUUAGCUAGUUGGUGAGGUAACGGCCCACCAAGGCGACGAUCCAUAGCCGGCCUGAGAGGGUGAACGGCCACAUUGGGACUGAGACACGGCCCAGACUCCUACGGGAGGCAGCAGUGGGGAAUAUUGCACAAUGGGGGAAACCCUGAUGCAGCGACGCCGCGUGAAGGAAGAAGUAUCUCGGUAUGUAAACUUCUAUCAGCAGGGAAGAAAAUGACGGU
rnacentral:rRNA from 1 species